rnacentral:rRNA from 1 species
UCUCACCCCUUGUGCAUCACCGCGUGGGUCCCCCUUUGCCGGAGGGCCCGCGUCUUUACACAAAACUCGAUACAGUGUAGAACGUUUAUUUUCGCGCUCGCACGCGAUCAACAAUACAACUUUCAACAACGGAUCUCUUGGCUCUCGCAUCGAUGAAGAACGCAGCGAAAUGCGAUACGUAAUGUGAAUUGCAGAAUUCAGUGAAUCAUCGAAUCUUUGAACGCACCUUGCGCCCCUUGGCAUUCCGAGGGGCACACCCGUUUGAGUGUCGUGAAAUCUUCAAAAACCCUCUCUUUCGAGGGGGAUUUUUGGACUUGGAGGUUCGAUGCUCGCUUUCGCCUUUUAGAAAGCGAGCUCCUCUCAAAUGAAUCAGUGGGGUCUGCUUUGCCGGUCCUUGACGUGAUAAGAUCUUUCUACGUUUUGGAUUCGACAUCGUCCCGCUCCCAAUCGUCCCCACGGACAAAGGAUGGUGCUCCGGUCGCGGCCGGACCCAAAA